GACGAACGCUGGCGGCGUGCUUAACACAUGCAAGUCGAACGGAAAGGCCCUGCUUUUGUGGGGUGCUCGAGUGGCGAACGGGUGAGUAGCACGUGAGUAACCUGCCCUUGACUUUGGGAUAACUUCAGGAAACUGGGGCUAAUACCGGAUAGGAGCUCCUGCUGCAUGGUGGGGGUUGGAAAGUUUCGGCGGUUGGGGAUGGACUCGCGGCUUAUCAGCUUGUUGGUGGGGUAGUGGCUUACCAAGGCUUUGACGGGUAGCCGGCCUGAGAGGGUGACCGGCCACAUUGGGACUGGGAUACGGCCCGGACUCCUACGGGAGGCAGCAGUGGGGAAUAUUGCACAAUGGGCGGAAGCCUGAUGCAGCAACGCCGCGUGCGGGAUGACGGCCUUCGGGUUGUAAACCGCUUUCGCCUGUGACGAAGCGUGAGUGACGGUAAUGGGUAAAGAAGCACCGGCUAACUACGU
rnacentral:rRNA from 1 species